GCCAGACAGAUGUCAUUCUGAAGAGAUCUCUGGGAUCAAACUGUGGUAUCAUCAAGCAGGGUUAUGCCAGGGUUCCAUUCCUGUGAACUGGUCAUAACCCAAAAAGUUUGCAAAGCAGACAGAUUACUGAAGGAACACGCACAAAAUGCUGGUGGAACGCAGCAGGCCAGGCAGCAUCUAUAGGAAGAAGCACUGUCGACGUUUCGGGCCGAGACCCUUCGCCAGGACUAACUGAAAGGAAAGAUAGUAGAUUAUAUCCGUGAACUAAGUUCCCAUAUGGCAGUAGAUGCAUGCAGCCACAUAGCAGCCUGAACAUCCAUCCAGCUGAUCACACAAAGGCUUGUUCAUAUGUUUGGACUGUACAGUAAGGUUUUUUUGUUUUAUGUUGCGUGAGGCCAUGAAUAAUUGUAAGUCCUGAUUAUCUUUCUUAUCAGUCUUAUUGCAGAUUUUGGGUCAAUGUUUUAGAAUUUUAAGAUUGUUUCUGUGUAACAUUUCUUUACCAAAAUGUCCACACCUCAUUCUUCCUCAAAAUGCUUACUGUGAUU